rnacentral:rRNA from 1 species
GACGAACCGUGCGAACGUUGUUCGGAAUCACUGGGCUUAAAGGGCGCGUAGGCGGACGACCCAGUCGGGGGUGAAAUCUUUCGGCUCAACCGGAAAAUAGCCUUCGAUACUGGUCGUCUGGAGGGGGGUAGGGGCGUGUGGAACUUCCGGUGGAGCGGUGAAAUGCGUUGAUAUCGGAAGGAACUCCGGUGGCGAAAGCGACACGCUGGACCCCGCCUGACGCUGAGGCGCGAAAGCCAGGGGAGCGAACGGG